rnacentral:misc_RNA from 1 species
AUCUUUUUAAAUUGGCCAUCGUGGGCUGUGCCGAGGUCCUGACGCAUCUUGACGGCCACGUGUUCUGGAAGAACAGACAGCAGCAAUUGCUCCUUUUGUUUCGUCGAGAUUCAGGCAAAGAAACUUUACAGGUUGGUAACGAACCGCCAUUCACAACGAACGAACCGCUUGACCGUUUUUUAAAAGGAAUUGAAAAUCUGAGGCUUUUCUCAUCGACGUAUUCCACCAGUAAAAGAAGACUCUUCUAGUCGCCACUCCCUCGCACAGCACGGUUGGCUUGAAAACCAGCAGGCCCAUUUUCUGAGGGUGAAAGAUGUCAUCGCAACGGACGGUGAGACAUCAGCCAAGUGGAGCAGACGGCGAAAGUGAAUUGUCGGCGAGUUCCUUGACAGGAGCGGCGAAUUUCCCAGUGUCGGCCACUCCUUUCUCCUUGGCCGGCACGAGGCGGACGAAUAACGAGUCAUCUUUUUCCGAUAAUAUCCGUCGUCCGUCUUCAUCCAUCCAUCACGAAGGACCGUCGGCAGCCUCGCAAUGGACGGAGAAUGAUAUGGGUAGUGGACCAACGUCCGCCAAGACUACCAACAGCGUCUUCAACUUGCGUUUCACUUCGGGCAGCACGAUGACUAGCGACAGUCACUACCAUCAAGUAUUUGCCCAGCCUAGUGGACGGGCACCCCGGAGUUCGGCAACUCCCAGUUUAUUCGCCGCUCUGACAACCCCCGGUCCCAGCAGAGCAGCCGCUCCUCUUCGUUCGCCUCUUCCGGACGUCCAGCCUCAGCUGUUUGGCAACGCUGGUAGUCAACCAUCGGCUCAUAGUUUACCACCACCGUCGACACCUCUAACUCCUGGAAUUCGCGGGGGUCCACCAGCCAUUACGCCUCGAUUAACAGCAGGACGGACGACUGUUGCAACACCUUCCGUCGCCACACCUAGGACCGGCCGUCCUCGUCGUGAUGACAACGUGAUCGUUGGUUUGGUGCACGGACGAGGAUUCGCCCGCAACGAAGUCGGAAUGGCAGCGAUCAACUUGACGGCGUGUGAACUUCACUUGUGUCAGAUGACCGAUUCUCACGGCUUCGUCAAAACUUUGACGAAAAUGAAUUUAUUCCGUCCUACUGAGGUGUUGAUGCCCGACACGGCCCUAGUGCCCGGUUCGCCCUCGCCCCUUGCGCAAGCCAUUAGCCGUUUCGAUUCUGACAUCGUCAUGACUGCCGUUAAUCGUGGAGCAUUUAACGAUACGGAAGGCAUCCAUUGCGUCCAAAAAUUGGCCGUCGUCGAUCACUUGAACAUUCUCGUUUUGAUUGAACAAAAGUAUUACGCCCUCGCUUCUGCCUCGGCUUUAAUGGCUCACCUGGAAAACAAUUUGAAUAUUACGUUUGCUCCUGGGACGUUACGAGUCUACUACAGCGGCACGGAUAAGACUGCCAUCAUUGAUUCGGAAACAGCCAACCGACUGGAAGUGGUGAGCAGCUUGAACCCAACCGGGGGUCCGUCUCUACUUUCGGCCCUGAAUUCGUGCCAAACAGCGGCCGGUAAGCGGCUCCUCCGUUCAAAUUUACUGGAACCCAUGACGGACCGGGAGGCCAUCCGUCAGCGUCUGGAUGCCGUCGAGGAGCUUGCGUCACGUCCCACCGACCUCCACCAGCCCAUCAAGGAGAUCCUGUCGCGGUUUGUCGAUGUCGAGCGUGCCGUUAACCAGUGCGUCGUUGUACCGAAAAAUCCUAGCCCGUCGUUCGUCGAGCAACGAAUCAACGCUGUUGUUGCCCUCAGGCACAUUCUAUCACUAGUGGCUCCGCUUCAAGCUGCCCUAGCGAAAGCCAACAGCCCAUUGAUUGUCUCUUUGGCUAAAGAAUUGGCCACCGUCAAUGACGAGACGCUGCUAUCGCGCAUUCAGGACGUGCUGGACGAACGGGUGAAGCCUGUCAAAGGCAAAAUAGGGAUGCAACGUCAGCGUUUCCGCGCUGUCAAAAUGGGCGUCGAUCUCAUGCUGGACGUUUGUCGCCGGACGCAUAACGACCUCGAAACAGAAAUGGAAGAAUACGUCGAGGACCUGUCACAGAAAUAUCAAAUGCCUUUGACGUUGGCCAAUACGGCAGUGCGCGGCUAUCACUUGCAACAGACGUUGGGUCAAGCGAGAAAGAAAGGCGACACCAACUAUCAACCUCCACCGCCACCUCCAGAAUUGCCGCCCGUCUUUGUCUGUGUAAAGAAGCAAGGUAACUGCAUGGCUUUCACGACCCAACACCUCCUCGUGUCCAACGAACGAAUUAAAUCUGUCGAGAAGGACAUUGAGAAGAUCACCAACGUAGUUAUUGAAGAUCUAUUGGCCAAGACGCGCAGUGACAUCGGAUCGCUGUAUAAAUUGCGAGAAAUCAUUUGCCAACUGGACGUGAUCGUGUCGUUUGCCCAGGUCAGCUCUGCCGGGGGUUUCUGUCGGCCCGCAUUCGCCAACGAGCUCGUCAUCCGUUCCGGUCGCCAUCCGAUCCUAGAUCAGUUUUCACCGAGCGCUUUGGUCUCCAACGACACGGAAAUGACGGUGGAAUCGAAUUUCCAUGUCAUCACCGGAGCUAAUAUGAGCGGCAAAAGCACCUACAUCCGUCAAGUGAUGCUACUGCAAAUAAUGGCCCAGAUUGGAUGUUUUGUUCCGGCUAGCAGCGCUUCAUUCCGGAUUGUUGAUCAAAUGUUCUCUCGGCUCGGCACUCACGAUCGCUUGGAAAACAACGCCUCCUCUUUCUCUCUCGAGAUGACGGAGAUGAACUAUAUUGUUCGCAAUGCCGGCCCAAAGUCUUUGGUUAUCAUCGACGAGCUGUGCAACGAAACGGCUGCUGAUCAAGGCAGUGCCAUCUGUUGGAGCAUUUGCGAAGCACUCAUAAUGACGCAAGCCUGGAUUAUGAUUGCCACUCACACGCCACUUGUCACCAAAUUGCAGGAUCUCUACUUUAACGUUUCAAAUUAUAUUUUAUUCAAUUUUCAUGUCGGUGAUUCAUUGUUGGAUCAAUCGCGUGUUCGAAUGCAGUUACCACAUGGAAGUCCUUGAAGAAGAGCGUGAAGACGGACGAUCUAAGCUAGAUUACACUCAUGCGAUCAGGCCGGGCGUCACGCAGUUGGAGAAUUACGCCCCUACCGAAGACAACUUUUGACUUCAAAAUGAACAGACUCAACUAUGCGUUGCACGGCAAGCUGCUGGAUAUCGGUCGCAGGAUGGAUGCCCUACCUGAUCAGACUUUUCUGAUGGAGAUGCAACGCGUUCGUGAC